GAGAGAGAGAGAGAGAGCACCAAGGAUAUACUGCUGAGUUUACCAUGUCUAGAGAUCGACGUACCACGGCAUCGUGGUGUCUUAAAUUAUAUCGAUCAAGCAUAGGACGAUCAGUUGACAAAGUGAUCAUAGAAGAAUCAUAAUUAUAUAUUUUUUUGGAUUAAUUUGUAUCAAAUCAAUGGAAUGCUCUUUCGGAUACAUUUACGAAACGAUAGUGGAAGAAUCAGCUGUUGAGCACGAUGCUAACGACUUAUCUGGAAUUUUUGAUCCUUAAUUAGAACGACACCCAUGUAAUCGCUAUAUGCCGAACCUCGAGGUCGAGAAAGUAUAACGGCGAUUGCACUUAAGACUAACUACUUGUUGCAUAAUGCAUCGAUCCCUACCUCGAACAAGCCCUAGCCCUCCAAAGUGUCUUUUGAGAGUUCCCUUAAAACGGUAUGUCGUGAUGUUUGAACGUGAUCGAGCACGUGCGAACGCGACACGUUUUAUUAUUCCCAUACAUAUACAGGUAUGUACAUACAUAAGUGUGUAUAUUAUGCAUAUAGAUGAAAGUUAAGUGUACAUAAAUAUAGAGACAUAAAUGUAAAACCAGGGAGAAAAGUCGAUAUGUCCGGCUGACUUUUACUUCAUUCACGAGAACCCUCAUCUGUCUCCUCUCUGCUAUAUAUAUAUGUAACACAUCUCCGUGUGUGUAUAUACUGUAUGUCUCACAGAAGGUCUUGCUUUUAUAUUUUAAACUAAAGUAUAUAAUCGAUAGCAGUGUGUGUUAGGCACGUUAAAUCCGGAAGCUUUACGUGAUCCGUUCUAUCGCAUGUCCUCUUUUCACGGUUAUGAUUUUCUCUCACGUGAAAUUAACUUCCGUGACGAGUUCAAGACAUUUUUAUUAUUACUACUUCACUCUUUUACUAGCACGUUUUAACGCGAAAUGUCGCAUGAGAUUUUUAUCAUCAUUGCUUUCAGUGUGAAAAUUUUCAUGUCUGAGAAAAAUAAAAAUAAUACGUACAUAAAGUUCGCGCGCACGUGUGUGUGUGUGUAUGUGUACGUAUACACACUUUUAUACGAUGUGUUGAUUUUUGAGAGAAGCAAAAAGUCGUCCCCAGAAAGUUUACACUAAAAAUAUCGUUGGACGACAUACUACGUAUGUUAUUCGGACGCGAAUGAACGCGUUCGACGAAUCUUUGUUUCGUUACACUCCUUUUGCUUUAUUUAUAGUUUUAAUAGCGAGAUCGAGUAACACAUCGUACGAGGAUUUUUCAAGGUGCGUGCGAUUAUAUAUCACUCACCGAGCACCGGCCAGCUUUUCAUUCCGUCUGACCCAAUUCGUACGGGUUAUUUUUACAAAGAAUGGGAACAGUCUGAAAGACGGGAGUCCGAAAAUCCUUUUCGUAAGUUCCCGCUGGCCUAGCAUAAAAAGAGAGAG